rnacentral:rRNA from 1 species
GCAGCCUGCAACUCGGCUGCAUGAAGCCGGAAUCGCUAGUAAUCGCGGAUCAGAACGCCGCGGUGAAUACGUUCCCGGGUCUUGUACACACCGCCCGUCACACCAUGGGAGUCGGGAAUGCCCAAAGUCGGUGAGCCAACGAAAGAGGCAGCCGCCGAAGGCAGGCCCGGUAACUGGGGUGAAGUCGUAACAAGGUAAC